AACUUUCUUAUUAGGAAAAAAACAGAAAGAGCGUGGUUUUCAUGCUCAUGCGUGAGGUGUGCGCCUCCCUCAAACCUUGUGAUGACAUCAACACAUUACCCAUCUGAUG
rfam:Otolemur garnettii contig024742, whole genome shotgun sequence.